GUAGGUGGCAAGCGUUGUCCGGAAUUAUUGGGCGUAAAGCGCGCGCAGGCGGUUCUUUAAGUCUGAUGUGAAAGCCCACGGCUCAACCGUGGAGGGUCAUUGGAAACUGGAGAACUUGAGUACAGAAGAGGAAAGCGGAAUUCCACGUGUAGCGGUGAAAUGCGUAGAGAUGUGGAGGAACACCAGUGGCGAAGGCGGCUUUCUGGUCCGUAACUGACGCUGAGGCGCGAAAGCGUGGGGAGCAAACAGGAUUAGAUACCCUGGUAGUCCACGCGUAAACCGAUGAGUGCUAAGUGUUAGGGGGUUUUCCGCCCCCCUUAGUGCUGCAGCUAACGCAUUAAGCACUCCGCCUGGGAGUACGGCCGCAAGGCUG
rnacentral:rRNA from 1 species